rfam:Gossypium raimondii Chr12_contig_678, whole genome shotgun sequence.
AAUUCAUGAUAAGGACACAUUCUCAAAAGAUCCUUGAAUCACUCCCAUGCAUCAUACAAUGUCUCAAGGUCAAAUUAAGCAUAAGAGAUGUCAUUCCUCAACUU